rnacentral:rRNA from 1 species
AUGGGUCGUGCCAAAGCAAUUGAUGAGGCGGAUCUGCAAGAGGUCAUGGCAAUUCGCGAUGAUUUUAGUGUUAUGCAACAAGAUAAUGUUCAGAUGCGAUCAGAGAUGUCCAAAUUGCAGGGGGAGGUGCUGUCCAUGAGUGCUAAACAGGGAGAAAUUUCUAAGCAAGUUGGUGGGGUUGAGCAAGUCGUUAUGGAUCUCAACAAACAACUGUCAACCAUCAGUUCAGUGCUGCAAUCGCUAGUAAAAACCACAGCAACACUUACUCAGAGUGAAAUACCAUCCAGCUCGCAUCAAGUUCCCAAGUCCCCAACGCUGCAACAGGAAAACAUUCAGGAUCAGCUUACCAGAACAGAACAGCUGCGGAAGCAAUUAGAACUUGAGAGAGAAAAAUCAAAACAGAUGGAAGAUCAAAUGCAAAAUCUGCCCCCAAUAAGAACCACCAGGGCACAAGCACCUCCAGGGUUUGCAAACCCAAUUAGAACAGAUUUUAGCCCGAAUGUCAGUACACCAUUAACUGCAAGAGAUCAGGUGCCCACACCAGCUUUCAACAAAUUUUAUCAACAGAAUAGAGAGAGGCAAAUGUGGCAGGGUUAUCACAAAACAUAUGAACAGGAGAUGCAAGCUCAGUUCAUGAGGUCAUUAACAAAAGGACCAAAGUUGGAUUUUCCAAGGUUUUCGGGUGAUGACCCAGUGGGGUGGAUAAGGCAAUGCAACAAGUACUUUCAGAUGUCAGCAGCUCCCGAAGAAUACAAGGUCUCUAGCACAAAUGUAUGUGGUGGAUGA